GUCGAGCGGCAGCGGGAAAGUAGCUUGCUACUUUUGCCGGCGAGCGGCGGACGGGUGAGUAAUGCCUGGGGAUCUGCCCAGUCGAGGGGGAUAACUACUGGAAACGGUAGCUAAUACCGCAUACGCCCUACGGGGGAAAGCAGGGGACCUUCGGGCCUUGCGCGAUUGGAUGAACCCAGGUGGGAUUAGCUAGUUGGUGAGGUAACGGCUCACCAAGGCGACGAUCCCUAGCUGGUCUGAGAGGAUGAUCAGCCACACUGGAACUGAGACACGGUCCAGACUCCUACGGGAGGCAGCAGUGGGGAAUAUUGCACAAUGGGGGAAACCCUGAUGCAGCCAUGCCGCGUGUGUGAAGAAGGCCUUCGGGUUGUAAAGCACUUUCAGCGAGGAGGAAAGGUCAGUAGCUAAUAUCUGCUGGCUGUGACGUUACUCGCAGAAGAAGCACCGGCUAACUCCGUGC
rnacentral:rRNA from 1 species